AGUGAACGCUGGCGGUAGGCCUAACACAUGCAAGUCGAACGAGUGGCGGACGGGUGAGGAAUACAUCGGAAUCUACUCUGUCGUGGGGGAUAAAGUAGGGAAAAUUACGCUAAUACCGCAUACGAUUGAAUGAGCCGAUGUCGGAUUAACUAGUUGGCGGGGUAAAGGCACACAAAGGCGACGAUCCGUAGCUGGUCUGAGAGGAUGAUAAGCCAAACUGGAACUUGGACACUGUCCAGACUCCUACGGGAGGCAGCAGUGGGGAAUAUUGGACAAUGGGCGCAAGCCGGAUCCAGCCAUACCGCGUGGUUGAAGAAGGCCUUCGGGUUGUAAAGCCCUUUUGUUGGGAAAGCGGUACCCAAAGAAUAAGCACCGGCUAACUUCGUGCCAGCCGCCGCGGUAAUAC
rnacentral:rRNA from 1 species